AUUGAACGCUGGCGGCAUGCUUUACACAUGCAAGUCGAACGGUAACAGGCCUUCGGGUGCUGACGAGUGGCGAACGGGUGAGUAAUGCAUCGGAACGUGCCCAGAGGUGGGGGAUAACGCAGCGAAAGCUGUGCUAAUACCGCAUGUGAUCUGAGGAUGAGAGCGGGGGACCAGGCAGCAAUGUUUGGCCUCGCGCCUUUGGAGCGGCCGAUGUCAGAUUAGGUAGUUGGUGGGGUAAAGGCCUACCAAGCCGACGAUCUGUAGCUGGUCUGAGAGGACGACCAGCCACACUGGGACUGAGACACGGCCCAGACUCCUACGGGAGGCAGCAGUGGGGAAUUUUGGACAAUGGGCGCAAGCCUGAUCCAGCAAUGCCGCGUGCGGGAAGAAGGCCUUCGGGUUGUAAACCGCUUUUGUACGGAACGAAAAGGCUCUGGCUAAUACCUGGGGCUGAUGACGGUACCGUAAGAAUAAGCACCGGCUAACUACGUG
rnacentral:rRNA from 1 species